CCCUGGUGGCUCAGAAGGUAAAGAAUUUGCCUGCAAUGCAGGAAACCCAGGUUCAAUCCCUGGAUCAGGAA
rnacentral:tRNA from 1 species